AAUUAUAAUAACAUUAAUUAAACUUAUUCGUGUUGCAUCUAUUUUAUACUCUAUCUCAUCAUCACCAAUUUUUUAAUUUACAGAUAAUCUUUGGGGAUUCAGUGAACCAAUAGCUGUCAAGGAAAAGGUCAGCUUUCAUCAAUUUUUUUUAUACUCUCUUCGUCUCUAUUUACUUGUCAAAUAUUUUCUAAUUUGAUUUCCCUUUUUACUUGUCAUUUUCGACAAAUUAAGGAACGACAAUUUUUUUUAUUUUAUUAUAUCCUCAAUUUAUUAACAUUGAGUUAGAGUGUGUUUUGUAUUGCCGUUGGGAGGCC
rnacentral:lncRNA from 1 species